UUCAAUGGCCACGCCACUUUGUCAAUGCCCAAUCUCGACAGAUCUUGAAAGCUGAGCAGCUUUGGUCCUGGUUAGAGCUUGGAUGGGAGAAUGCUGGGAAUACCAGGUGCCACCGUGG
rnacentral:rRNA from 1 species